CGGUAAUUCCAGCUCCAAUAGCGUAUAUUAAAGUUGUUGCUGUUAAAAAGCUCGUAGUUGAACUUCUGACAGCGAGCAGGUUUGGCUUUGGCCAGCCUGUUCGUUGUCAUCCGUCUGCAAACCUUGUACGUCCUUCAGUGGUUCGGCAAGGGGAGUAGACAAUUUACUUUGAAAAAAUUAGAGUGUUCAAAGCAGGUAUUAGCCUGAAUACUUUAGCAUGGAAUAAUGGAAUACGACUCUUGUCUAUUUAUGUUGGUUAUUAGACUUGAGUAAUGAUUAAUAGGGACAGUUGAAGGCAUUAGUACUUAAUUGUCAGAGGUGAAAUUCAUGGAUUUAUUAAAGACUAACUAAUGCGAAAGCAUUUGCCAAGGAUGUUUUCAUUAAUCAAGAACGAAAGUUCGAGGAUAGACAGCGAUCAGACACCACUUUAUUUCGAACUAUAAACUAUACCGAUUUGAGAUAGCCAAUUUUAAUCGAAUAAUUGGCUGCAUCACA
rnacentral:rRNA from 1 species